rnacentral:rRNA from 1 species
GAUGAACGCUGGCGGCGUGCUUAACACAUGCAAGUCGAACGGUGAACGAGGGAGCUUGCUCCCUCCGGAUCAGUGGCGAACGGGUGAGUAACACGUGAGCAAUCUGCCCUGGACUCUGGGAUAAGCGUUGGAAACGACGUCUAAUACCGGAUACGAGGCGUGGGGGCAUCCCCAACGCCUGGAAAGAACUUCGGUCCAGGAUGAGCUCGCGGCCUAUCAGCUAGUUGGUGAGGUAACGGCUCACCAAGGCGACGACGGGUAGCCGGCCUGGGAGGGUGACCGGCCACAGUGGGACUGAGACACGGCCCAGACUCCUACGGGAGGCAGCAGUGGGGAAUAUUGCACAAUGGGCGAAAGCCUGAUGCAGCAACGCCGCGUGAGGGACGGCGGCCUUCGGGUUGUAAACCUCUUCUAGCAGGGAAGAAGCGAAAGUGACGGUACCUGCAGAAAAAGCACCGGCUAACUACGUGCCAGCCGCCGCGGUAAGAC